rnacentral:rRNA from 1 species
CCUACGGGAGGCAGCAGUGAGGAAUAUUGGUCAAUGGGCGAGAGUCUGAACCAGCCAAGUCGCGUGAAGGCUGAAGGACCUAUGGUUUGUAAACUUCUUUUAUAUGGGAAUAAAGUGAGGAACGUGUUGCAUUUUGUAUGUACCAUAUGAAUAAGGAUCGGCUAACUCCGUGCCAGCAGCCGCGGUAAUACGGAGGAUGCGAGCGUUAUCCGGAUUUAUUGGGUUUAAAGGGUGCGUAGGUGGUUUAUUAAGUCAGUGGUGAAAGUUUGUGGCUCAACCGUAAAAUUGCAGUUGAAACUGGAUGUCUUGAGUAUAGUUGAGGUAGGCGGAAUGCGUGGUGUAGCGGUGAAAUGCGUAGAUAUCACGAAGAACUCCGAUUGCGAAGGCAGCUUACUAGACUAUAACUGACACUGAGGCGCGAAAGCGUGGGGAUCAAACAGGAUUAGAUACCCGUGUAGUC